rnacentral:rRNA from 1 species
AGUGAACGCUGGCGGUAGGCCUAACACAUGCAAGUCGAACGGCAGCACAGUAAGAGCUUGCUCUUACGGGUGGCGAGUGGCGUACGGGUGAGGAAUACAUCGGAAUCUACUUUUUCGUGGGGGAUAACGUAGGGAAACUUACGCUAAUACCGCAUACGACCUACGGGUGAAAGCAGGGGAUCUUCGGACCUUGCGCGAUUGAAUGAGCCGAUGUCGGAUUAGCUAGUUGGCGGGGUAAAGGCCCACCAAGGCGACGAUCCGUAGCUGGUCUGAGAGGAUGAUCAGCAACACUGGAACUGAGACACGGUCAAGAGUCCUACGGGAGGCAGCAGUGGGGAAUAUUGGACAAUGGGCGCAAGCAUGAUACAGCCAUACCGCGUGGGUGAAGAAGGCCUUCGGGUUGUAAAGCCCUUUUGUUGGGAAAGAAAAGCAGCAGGUUAAUACCACGCUGUUCUGACGGUACCCAAAGAAUAAGCACCGGCUAACUUCGUG